rnacentral:rRNA from 1 species
GACUGCGUACCUUUUGUAUAAUGGGUCAGCGACUUAUAUUUAGUAGCAAGGUUAAGUGAAUAACGGAGCCGUAGCGAAAGCGAGUGUUAACUGCGCGUUUAGUUGCUAGGUAUAGACCCGAAACCCGGUGAUCUAGCCAUGAGCAGGUUGAAGGUUGAGUAACAUCAACUGGAGGACCGAACCCACUGUCGUUGAAAAGCCAGGGGAUGACUUGUGGAUCGGAGUGAAAGGCUAAUCAAGCCCGGAGAUAGCUGGUUCUCCCCGAAAGCUAUUUAGGUAGCGCCUCGGAUGAAUUCCUUUGGGGGUAGAGCACUGUUUGGGCUAGGGGGUCAUCCCGACUUACCAACCCCAUGCAAACUCCGAAUACCAAAGAGAACUAUCCGGGAGACACACGGCGGGUGCUAACGUCCGUCGUGAAAAGGG